GACGAACGCUGGCGGCGUGCUUAACACAUGCAAGUCGAACGGAAAGGCCCUGCUUUUGUGGGGUGCUCGAGUGGCGAACGGGUGAGUAACACGUGAGUAACCUGCCCUUGACUUUGGGAUAACUUCAGGAAACUGGGGCUAAUACCGGAUAGGAGCUCCUGCUGCAUGGUGGGGGUUGGAAAGCUUCGGCGGUUGGGGAUGGACUCUCGGCUUAUCAGCUUGUGGGUGGGGUAGUGGCUUACCAAGGCUUUGACGGGUAGCCGGCCUGAGAGGGUGACCGGCCACAUUGGGACUGAGAUACGGCCCAGACUCCUACGGGAGGCAGCAGUGGGGAAUAUUGCACAAUGGGCGGAAGCCUGAUGCAGCAACGCCGCGUGCGGGAUGACGGCCUUCGGGUUGUAAACCGCUUUCGCCUGUGACGAAGCGUGAGUGACGGUAAUGGGUAAAGAAGCACCGGCUAACUACGUG
rnacentral:rRNA from 1 species